rnacentral:lncRNA from 1 species
UCCUUUAUCUCUCCUCAUUUUUCUUCAUCUUCUUCCUCUUUCUUUCUCCUCCUUUCCCCCUCUUCUUCUUUUCACGAGACACACUUUCUCUCUCCUUUUUCCUCAUCUUCUUCUUCUUCUUGUACUCUCUCUCUCUCUCCUCAUUUUUCCUCUUCUUCUUUGUACAAAUGGAAAAGAUCGUCACUCAUAUCAUCAACGGGAUUGAAGCCAUAUACACAUUAAUAUCUUUUUUUUUCUUACAAUAAAUCGCGUAAGAAAUUAAGAGAGAAAAAAACAACACCCAAUUUGUUUUGGGAUUAAUUUAUGCAAAUAUAUGUCAGAAUUUUUUGUUGAUUUGGACAAGAUUACAGUUUGUUGGGAACAAAGUAUGAAUUUUCAAAUUCUUCAUCUUCUUUCUUCUCUGUGUUUUUUUUUCUCUUUUUUUUCUUCUUGUUAUAUUUUAAUGAAGUUUUUUAGUAAAGUCGUUAAUGGAGGAUUCUAUUUCUUGAAACUGGGAGAACGGGAGAUCGAACUCCCACUAUGGUUGACAAAGUGUGGUGUGGCGACGGUGUGGUGAUGAUGGGGAGGCAGAUUUAUGGUUUUUUGUUGGAUUGGGCGGAUAACGGCGCGUGUAGAGAAUUUCGCGCAGGC